UUGUAAUCACCCUUAACUUAUGUUUUUGGCCUAAGUUGUGACAUCGUAUCUUCGGAGACCCAAGGAUAUAAUAUCAAGCGGUAAGAACAAAGUUAGUUUCCAGGCUCAAAUUAGGUUCAAAUGGUAUGCUUUUUAUUUGGUUGUCUAUUUUGGGCUUUUAGUGGGCUUAGCAAAAACAGCUUACUGAUCCUUUCCUAUCCAGUUAUUCUCA
rnacentral:lncRNA from 1 species